UACGUAGGGUGCAAGCGUUGUCCGGAAUUAUUGGGCGUAAAGAGCUCGUAGGCGGUUUGUUGCGUCGGCUGCGAAAUCCCGAGGCUCAACCUCGGGUCUGCAGUCGAUACGAGCAAACUAGAGUGUUGCAGGGGAGACUGGAAUUCCUGGUGUAGCGGUGAAAUGCGCAGAUAUCAGGAGGAACACCGGUGGCGAAGGCGGAUCUCUGGGCCUUACCUGACGCUCAGGUGCGAAAGCUAGGGGAGCGAACAGG
rnacentral:rRNA from 1 species